rnacentral:rRNA from 1 species
UACGAAGGGAGCUAGCGUUGUUCGGAAUCACUGGGCGUAAAGCGCACGUAGGCGGACGUGUCAGUCAGGGGUGAAAUCCCGGAGCUCAACUUCGGAACUGCCUUUGAUACUGGAGAGCUUGAGUCCGGAAGAGGUGAGUGGAACUCCGAGUGUAGAGGUGAAAUUCGUAGAUAUUCGGAAGAACACCAGUGGCGAAGGCGGCUCACUGGUCCGGUACUGACGCUGAGGUGCGAAAGCGUGGGGAGCAAACAGG